rnacentral:tRNA from 1 species
GGGAGCAUAGCUCAGUGGUGAGCACAUGCUUAGCAUGCAUGAGGUCCUGGGUUCAAUCCCCAGUACCUCCU